rnacentral:rRNA from 1 species
CAGCCUGCCCAGUGACUUAAUGUUCAACGGCCGCGGUAUUCUGACCGUGCAAAGGUAGCGUAAUCACUUGUCUUUUAAAUAAAGACUGGUAUGAACGGCACCACGAGGGUUCCACUGUCUCAUGCAUCCUAUCAGUGAAACUAACCCCCCCGUGCAGAGGCGGGAAUAAAAACAUAAGACGAGAAGACCCUAUGGAGCUUAAAACCCCGGACAAUUGUUUUCACCUACUCAUCAAUAGACAUACCCAAAAGACAAACAAUACUAACCCAGCGGUUUUUGGUUGGGGCGACCAUGGAGAAUAAAAAACCCUCCACGAAGAAUGAGCUAACAACCCUUAACUCAGAGCCACUACUCUAAGCAAUAGAACAUCUAACUUAAAUUGACCCAGUAUCAACUGAUCAACGAACCAAGUUACCCUAGGGAUAACAGCGCUAUCCACUUCAAAAGUUCAUAUUGACAAGUGGGUUUACGACCUCGAUGUUGGAUCAGGGCAUCCCGGUGGUGCAGCCGCUACCAAAGGUUCGUUUGUUCAACGAUUAAAGCCCU